UAGCAAAUGCUAUGCUUUGACUUGCAGAUUUGGAUACUAUGCUUUGACUUGCAGGUGUGGAUUAUAUCUCAAACUUAGCAUGUAGUUAUACUGCAAUUUGCAAACAUGUUUAGAGCAGAAGCCCAUUACGCUUGAAAGAUUACUGAAGACUAAAUUUAGUCCCUAGUAUUUUAUUCAACAUAUAUAGAAAGCUAGUGUGCUACC
rnacentral:lncRNA from 1 species